AGAUUUUUUCCCUUCUGGCCUUAAAAGAAGCUGUGUAUACAGCUUUACAUAACUUUCCCUUUAAACUUAAACCUUUAUGGUAGUCCCAUUCAACCACUUGACAGCUCCAUUAAUCUAUUUUUACUAUUAAACAUGCCAUUUUACAAGAUAUUUAUUCCACUUGGUCGUCAUCCAAACGCUUUUUGACAUUACUGCCCUGGGAGUGAACUGCUUAAACUCGCUGCCCUCAUAAACAGAAAAUCACCUUUUGACUCAAAUCUUGAAGAGCUCUCAGAACCUCACCCCCUUCACUUCUACAGGCAUUAAUUUCUGCCAUAUAUAAAGGAGAGAGUGAGUAAGUGUGUGUGUGUGUGGUUUUAAGAGGGUAAUUGUGGGAGGUCUGGGCAAUUCAAGAAGUGCUGGGGGAAGGAAUCCUCUCCUCUAACUCCAUUCUGCUCAUCGGGGCCUGCCUGAGACCUGGAGAUCUGGUAACUUAACAGAGAGAAAGUGAUCAGAGAGCAGACAAACAAAAGGCCACCGCGAAACAGUUGAAGGUAGAGACCUACUGGCUUUGAAGACUAUCAAUCAGGUGGAAACCUGAACAAAUCACAAUUUGGCUUCCUCAUCAAGUUUUCUCCCCAGCCUGACAAACCCUCCUCCGCCGCCGCCUCCACCUCCUCCUCCGCCUCCCAGGCUCAGCACAGCUACGAGGCCAAAGGGACCGUCCUGUGAUGCCUGCUGGUUUCCAACUUUCCGCUCAUCUUCGUCUCCGCAGCCUCCUGCAAAGCGGCUGGGAAAAGGGCAAGUUUGCAAAGCCGAGGAUACAAGUCCUGGGGAAGCCACAAAGAAGCUGCAACACCAACAAAGAUUAACCUCUUGUGGGGCAGACGAAAAGCGCCAGCUGCCGUUCAGGGGGGCGAACGUGGGCUCGGGCUGGCAGAGGCUCCGGCCAGCUGGCAGCGGACAGCAGGGCCGGGGGUCCCGCGGCCGCCCUCGGCCCCCCGCCCCGCGCGGACUCCCCCUGCACCUGAGCGGGGGUGAGGACAGCGCCGCGCUCCGGCCCUGCCCCCGCCAGGUAGCUCGGCUGCCGCCCGCGCUGCGCGCCCGCUGCCUGCAGCCGCCGGGAGCGACGAGAGCAGAGGCAGCCUCGGCCCACGGCGUCAUGCUUCCUGCCACCACAUUACGGCGAAUCGUCACCGGGAGAGGGGAGCGAGGGGAGAGGGGGAGGGAGGGGAGCAGACACACGCAGCCCCCCGCCUGCCAAAACGCGCGGAGACGGGGCCACGUCCCGGUGGAGUCCCCGCGGGACCUGCCCCGUUUGCACAAAGCGCCGCAGUUUGGCCAAGAAGGGAGGGAGACGGCCACGAAAUAAAUAAAUAAAAACAGUCGGGUCUACGUAACGCCCUGUCGAAAGCGGACGCCAUAUUUUUUUGUGGCUUAUGUCGACAUAGGGAAACGUAGACAUGUUUUUCCUCCUCCUCCUCCUCCUCCUCGCUCUGGCUCCCAUUUAUCCAAACUUGUAAUCAAAACUCUUAAAAAAAAAAUCUUCUUCCCUCUCUGUAUCCGCUCAUUUCCUCCCACCCGCAAAAAGAGCCUGCACACCCCCCCCCUUCCGUACCCCCCUUCCAAUCACAAACCCGGCCAAGUCCCAUUAACAACACAUUUUCGGGAGCCGCGGCGGCGACGGCGGCGGUGGGAAAGUUGGGCUGGAGUGGCCGGCGCCCGGCGUGCGGGGUUUGGGGCCGGCGGCGCCGGCUGGGGGGCUCCGCGCCGAGGCGAAGUUUCUUACCUGCGCUGGGGCUGUGAACGCGGGGACCCGGGCUGGGAACGCGGAGACGCGGCACGGGCGUUCCAAAAUGGAACUCUGCUGGCUCCCCCCAC
rnacentral:lncRNA from 1 species